UACGGAGGGUGCGAGCGUUAAUCGGAAUGACUGGGCGUAAAGGGUUCGUAGGUGGUCAGAUAAGUCAGAUGUGAAAUACCUGGGCUCAACCUGGGAGGGUCAUUUGAAACUGUUUGACUAGAGUUUACUAGAGGAUUGGGGAAUUUCCGGUGUAGCGGUGAAAUGCGUAGAGAUCGGAAGGAACAUCAAUGGCGAAGGCAACAAUCUGGGGUUGAACUGACACUGAGGGACGAAAGCGUGGGGAUCAAACAGGAUUAGAUACCCUGGUAGUCCACGCUGUAAACGAUGAGUACUAGCUGUUGGUCCUGGUGUAAAAGGAUUAGUGGCGCAGCAAACGCGAUAAGUACUCCGCCUGGGGACUACGGCCGCAAGGUUAAAACUCAAAGGAAUUGACGGGGACCCGCACAAGCGGUGGAGCAUGUGGUUUAAUUCGAUGCAACGCGAAGAACCUUACCUGCCCUUGACAUCCAUAGAAGACGAGAGAGAUUUUGUUGUGCCUUCGGGAACUAUGAGACAGGUGCUGCAUGGCUGUCGUCAGCUCGUGUUGUGAAAUGUUGGGUUAAGUCCCGCAACGAGCGCAACCCUUAUUUUUAGUUGCCAUCAUUAAGUUGGGCACUCUAGAGAGACUGCCGCUGAUAAGGCGGAGGAAGGUGGGGACGACGUCAAGUCAUCAUGGCCCUUACGGGCAGGGCUACACACGUGCUACAAUGGGCAUUACAGAGGGAGGCGAAGGUGCGAGCUGAAGCGAAACUCAGAAAGGUGUUCGUAGUCCGGAUUGCGCUCUGCAACUCGAGCGCAUGAAGUCGGAAUCGCUAGUAAUCGCGGAUCAGCAUGCCGCGGUGAAUACGUUCCCGGGUCU
rnacentral:rRNA from 1 species